rnacentral:rRNA from 1 species
GACGAACGCUGGCGGCGUGCUUAACGCAUGCAAGUCGAACGGAAAGGCCCUGCUUUUGUGGGGUGCUCGAGUGGCGAACGGGUGAGUAACACGUGAGUAACCUGCCCUUGACUUUGGGAUAACUUCAGGAAACUGGGGCUAAUACCGGAUAGGAGCUCCUGCUGCAUGGUGGGGGUUGGAAAGUUUCGGCGGUUGGGGAUGGACUCGCGGCUUAUCAGCUUGUUGGUGGGGUAGUGGCUUACCAAGGCUUUGACGGGUAGCCGGCCUGAGAGGGUGACCGGCCACAUUGGGACUGAGAUACGGCCCAGACUCCUACGGGAGGCAGCAGUGGGGAAUAUUGCACAAAGGGCGGAAGCCUGAUGCAGCAACGCCGCGUGCGGGAUGACGGCCUUCGGGUUGUAAACCGCUUUCGCCUGUGACGAAGCGUGAGUGACGGUAAUGGGUAAAGAAGCACCGGCUAACUACGU